UACGUAGGGGGCAAGCGUUGUCCGGAUUCAUUGGGCGUAAAGAGCGUGUAGGCGGCCAGGUAGGUCGGUUGUGAAAACUGGAGGCUCAACCUUCAGAGGUCGACCGAAACCAUCUGGCUAGAGUCCGGGAGAGGAGAGUGGAAUUCCUGGUGUAGCGGUGAAAUGCGCAGAUAUCAGGAAGAACACCCGUGGCGAAAGCGGCUCUCUGGAACGGUACUGACGCUGAGGAGCGAAAGCGUGGGGGAGCGAACAGG
rnacentral:rRNA from 1 species